GUAAGUAAACGCCCUUCCUUUCUAUUCCCACCGCCAUUUCCGCUGUCUGACCUGCGCCGACUUCCGGAAGGGUGCAGUCUCUCCCAGCCCUCAAUACCCGCCACACUUCUCUAAAAAUCUGACAAGAACCUGCAGCUGCACUGGUUAUAGUCUCAGACUGUGAUUCCCCAGCCAGGUGCCAGGACAAUGGCUAUCUAUUAAUAUCCUAUGCCAGCUGUUACCUCAACAUGUGGGAUGCCCAGGCAUUGGGGAGAAAGACUCGAUUUUGUCUGCGGCCUCCCCUUACAUUUUUGUUAUUUACCGAAUUUAAUCUUCAAAACAAGCCUGGAGGCAUUACUGUCCACAUGUUUGCAAAUGAGGACACAGGCUGAAGGAGGAAGAGCUGAGACACUCAAUAUUCCAGGAGCCAAACUUGAGAUCUCAGAGUCAGGCGGAUUCUCUACCACCAACAUCAUCUGGGAAGCCCACAUCAUCAUAAAAUGGGAAAAUUUGGACACAAACACUGUCACACAAGGUGAACGCCAUGUGAAGAUCAAAAUCAGGGUCCUGCAUCUGCAAGUCCAGAGAGGUAUCAACCUGACUCUUCGUACUAUGAGACUGAAGAACAGCAGUAAAGUUCUCAGAUCAGGAUCUGAUCCCACCGGCUCAACUACUCAACCACUGGGAAGACGCUACCAUGCGGAUGGAUACUGUCAGUGGGCUCCCCCUGCUGGAAGAGUCAAUGAUAUACUCAAACUGCUCUCUGGCUGUAUUUUUACCUGUGUCUCCAGGUAAAAUUAACCAAUAAUUUUCCUUUCUUGUUCAGUCCUUAGAUUCAAGGUUACAUUAUUCUCAUAACAUGAAUUCGAAGAUUGAUCCUACUUAACUACUCUUUGGAAUAUUAGGUAUAAGAUGAAAAUUAUCUGUUCUGUUGCUUGAAGAGUCAGUCAACUUGCUU
ensembl:lncRNA